rnacentral:rRNA from 1 species
AAUAGAUACCCAGGUAGUCCACGCCGUAAACGAUGAGUGCUAAGUGUUAGAGGGUUUCCGCCCUUUAGUGCUGCAGCUAACGCAUUAAGCACUCCGCCUGGGGAGUACGGCCGCAAAGCUGAAACUCAAAGGAAUUGACGGGGGCCCGCACAAGCGGUGGAGCAUGUGGUUUAAUUCGAAGCAACGCGAAGAACCUUACCAGGUCUUGACAUCCUCUGCCAACCCUAGAGAUAGGGCGUUCCCCUUCGGGGGACAGAGUGACAGGUGGUGCAUGGUUGUCGUCAGCUCGUGUCGUGAGAUGUUGGGUUAAGUCCCGCAACGAGCGCAACCCUUGAUCUUAGUUGCCAGCAUUCAGUUGGGCACUCUAAGGUGACUGCCGGUGACAAACCGGAGGAAGGUGGGGAUGACGUCAAAUCAUCAUGCCCCUUAUGACCUGGGCUACACACGUGCUACAAUGGAUGGUACAAAGAGCUGCGAACCCGCGAGGGUAANCGAAAUCUCAUAAAGCCAAUUCUCAGUUCGGAUUGU